rnacentral:rRNA from 1 species
CCCUUAGAUGUUCUGGGCCGCACGCGCGCUACACUGAUGAAUGCAACGAGCUCUACCCUUGACCGAAAGGCCCGGGUAAACUUGUGAAACUUCAUCGUGAUGGGGAUAGAUUAUUGCAAUUAUUAAUCUUCAACGAGGAAUUCCUAGUAAGCGCGAGUCAUCAGCUCGCGUUGAUUAUGUCCCUGCCCUUUGUACACACCGCCCGUCGCUCCUACCGAUUGAAUGGUCCGGUGAAAUCUUCGGAUUGCUGACCAAGAUCCAGCAAUGGAGCUUGGUUGCGAGAAGUUGAUUAAACCUUAUUAUUUAGAGGAAGGAGAAGUCGUAACA